rnacentral:sRNA from 1 species
UGGUAGUCUUGUUAAAAAUGGUGCUGAUGUAAAUGCAAAAGACAAUAACGGACAAACCCCUAUUUUUACUUUUGUUCAAAACUCUCUUUCUGAAGUUGCCUUGGAAGCGAUUUCACU